rnacentral:ncRNA from 1 species
UGGGGAAAGGAAGGGCUGUUGAAUAAGUGGAGCUGUAAUAAAGUGGGAAUCCAUGUGGAAAACAGAUGAAAUUGAAUGUCUACUUCAUGUCACAAGCCAAUAUAAACUUUGGAUGUCUUAAUGUCAAAAUAAAACUUUUCGCGAAGGCCCUCGGCGGGUGUUGACGCGAUGUGAUUUCUGCCCAGUGCUCUGAAUGUCAAAGUGAAGAAAUUCGAUGAAGCACAGGUAAACGGCGGGAGUAACUAUGACUCUCUUAAGGUAGCCAAAUGCCUUGUCAUCUAGUUAGUGAUGCGCAUGAAUGGAUGAACGAGAUUCCCACUGCCCCUACCUACUAUCCAGUGAAACCACAGCCAAGGGAACCGGCUUGG